rnacentral:lncRNA from 1 species
CCAGCUUCUCUGGCUUCGGUGGAAUUCUGCACCAACAGAAUUGACACUAGAGGAAGGGGGUUAUGUCUUCACAGUACCCUUAUUUUUGAAGGAGUGCUCAACGGGAUUGCCUCCAGUCAUCUUCUCUGACGUCCUCCUCUCCUUUUCCUACUAGAUCUUCACCUGAUGUCUCCCCGAAAGGCAUCCACCAGGCGAUCCACGACCUCUGCAGUC